AACGAACGCUGGCGGCAGGCUUAACACAUGCAAGUCGAACGCCCCGCAAGGGGAGCGGCAGACGGGUGAGUAACACGUGGGGAUCUGCCCAAUGGUACGGAAUAAUUCCGGGAAACUGGGACUAAUACCGUAUGUGCCCGCAAGGGGAAAGAUUUAUCGCCAUUGGAUGAACCCGCGUCGGAUUAGCUAGUUGGUGAGGUAAAGGCUCACCAAGGCGACGAUCCGUAGCUGGUCUGAGAGGAUGAUCAGCCACACUGGGACUGAGACACGGCCCAGACUCCUACGGGAGGCAGCAGUGGGGAAUAUUGGACAAUGGGCGCAAGCCUGAUCCAGCCAUGCCGCGUGAGUGAUGAAGGCCUUAGGGUUGUAAAGCUCUUUCGCCGACGAAGAUAAUGACGGUAGUCGGAGAAGAAGCCCCGGCUAACUUCGUGCCAGCCGCCGCCGUAACAC
rnacentral:rRNA from 1 species